CUGUUUAGUCGGAAUCUCCUUUCUUGCAACUUGAAGCCCUUGGCUUGAGUCCUACCCUCCAGAGCAGGAGAAAACAAGCAUGCCCCCUCCUCCAUGUAACAGCCCUGAAGAUAUUUGAAGAUGGCUAUCAUAUCUCCUCCUCUCAGUCUCCUCUUCUCCAGACUAAACAUCCCCAGCUCCUUCAA